UUCCAGGACAUACUGAUGAGGAUGUCAAAAUUGCAAUUGGGGUACUCA
rfam:Influenza A virus (A/goose/Yunnan/3720/2005(H5N1)) nonstructural protein 2 (NS2) gene, partial cds; and nonstructural protein 1 (NS1) gene, complete cds.